rnacentral:rRNA from 1 species
GAUGAACGCUGGCGGCGUGCUUAACACAUGCAAGUCGAACGAUGAAGCCCAGAUUGCUGGGUGGAUUAGUGGCGAACGGGGGAGUAACACGUGAGUAACCUGCCCUUAAAUCUGGGAUAAGACUGGGAAACUGGGUCUAAUACCGGAUAGGAGCGUGCACCGCAUGGUGGGUGUUGGAAAGAUUUAUCGGUUUUGGAUGGACUCGCGGCCUAUCAGCUUGUUGGUGAGGUAAUGGCUCACCAAGGCGACGACGGGUAGCCAGCCUGAGAGGGUGACCGGCCACACUUAUACUGAGGCACGCCCCAGACUCCUACUGGAAACAGCAGUGAGGAAUAUUGCACAAUGGACGCAAGCCUGAUGCAGCGACUCCACGUGAGGGAUGACGGCCUUCGGGUUGUAAACCUCUUUCAGUAGGGAAGAAGCGAAAGUAACGGUACCUGCACAAGAAGCACCGGCUAACUACGUG